AGGGAAUCUUCGGCAAUGGACGAAAGUCUGACCGAGCAACGCCGCGUGAGUGAAGAAGGUUUUCGGAUCGUAAAACUCUGUUGUUAGAGAAGAACAAGGAUGAGAAGAGAAUGUUCAUCCCUUGACGGUAUCUAACCAGAAAGCCACGGCUAACUACGUGCCAGCAGCCGCGGUAAUACGUAGGUGGCAAGCGUUGUCCGGAUUUAUUGGGCGUAAAGCGAGCGCAGGCGGUUCUUUAAGUCUGAUGUGAAAGCCCCCGGCUUAACCGGGGAGGGUCAUUAGAAACUGGGGAACUUGAGUGCAGAAGAGGAGAGUGGAAUUCCAUGUGUAGCGGUGAAAUGCGUAGAUAUAUGGAGGAAUACCGAUGGCGAAGGCAGCCAUCUGGCCUAAUACUGACGCUGAGGGACGAAAGCAUGGGGAGCAAAC
rnacentral:rRNA from 1 species